AAGAUUGAACUGAAGAGUUUGAUCAUGGCUCAGAUUGAACGCUGGCGGCAGGCCUAACACAUGCAAGUCGAACGCGAAAAUUCCUU
rnacentral:rRNA from 1 species